UACUGAAAGAGGAAAGGAAGAUCAGGGCAGGACCCCAAAACUCACACUUAUCUUCACCUUCAGUAGAGUCCAAAAUCCAACAUAUCCUAUGCUUACAGUAGGGUGAAAGAGGUGAGAAAAAAAAACCAAACUCCUUGAUUUUUAGGUUAUCGCAAGACUGGGCUUGCUCAGUCCCACCAAAUGUAGCCACCCCCUCUGGGAUUCCAGCCCACAGGCACCAGAAAGACCUGCUUCUGUGAGAUCUAUCAUACAUUCAAAGGGCUCCUCAAAGUCUUCCAGUGACUUAAUGCCACUGUGCUGGGGUCACUGUUGAUUCAUCUUGAGCCACUUCCAAAUUUAGCUCUCAGAUGCUGGGAAAUUGUUGCCAGGAGACCACCUUGUGUGAAAACUUCACCCAUUUGAGACCAAGCCAGCAUUGAGGGAGUCUGCCUACAUCCUCAUAGAAGCAAAAAGAAAGGGCCAAAGUCUUCUUUUAGCCAGAGAUAUUGGCAAUGAAACGGGGCAUACUAGAGAUAGUACAUAUACUGACCACCUGCAGCAGAGUCAUUGCAAUUAUAUGGAUCUAGCAACCUGGGAAGGAACAAGGAGCUUUGAGAUGACCACUGUAUAGCUUUGGUGAGGGCAUGGCUGCCCAUCCACGUGCAGCACCCACACUCAUACUUUGAUUCACAAGGACAUGAAGGGCACUGCAGCACUGGGAAGAAUCAGAUAAUGUUGCAAGAGCCUCCAACCCUUUGGGCUCAAAGAUGUUGGCAGUGAUCUGAAUUCCUAUUUGGACUCCAGGAAUCCCUUCAGUUAAUGCACAGGACUCCAUAUGGACCAAUGCAAACUGCCUACUACAUUAUGGGGCAAAAAACUCUGAAAGAAGAAAUGUGAAAACAACUGCUGUUCUGGGAGAGUCUUCCCUACAGGAAAAGCCUUACCUCAUUCAAAAUAAAUGAAGUCUCAAAGUAUAUGCCA
rnacentral:lncRNA from 1 species